GGAGAUAUCAAACAUGCGGUUCUUGCAAGACGACCAAAGACAUUGCAUGACCUGGAGGCAUUUUGCCAAGACGGAUGGGCAGCUGUAUCACCUGUAAGAAUUAGGGGCCACAUAGACAACUAUUACAAAAGACUAAGGGUAUGCAGACCUUUGAACAAGGGUAAUUUCAUUUUUUUCUUUGUUGCCAUGUUUAUUUUUUAUGAUUGUGCCAUUCUGUUCUAAACUACAGUUGAAUAUGAAUCCCA